rnacentral:rRNA from 1 species
AACGAACGCUGGCGGCAUGCCUAACACAUGCAAGUCGAACGAGACCUUCGGGUCUAGUGGCGCACGGGUGCGUAACGCGUGAGAACCUGCCCUUAGGUUCGGAAUAACUCCCCGAAAGGGGUGCUAAUACCGGAUAAUGUCUUCGGACCAAGAUUUAUCGCCUUUGGAUGGGCCCGCGUUGGAUUAGCUAGUUGGUAGGGUAAAAGCCUACCAAGGCGACGAUCCAUAGCUGGUCUGAGAGGAUGAUCAGCCACACUGGGACUGAGACACGGCCCAGACUCCUACGGGAGGCAGCAGUGGGGAAUAUUGGACAAUGGGCGAAAGCCUGAUCCAGCAAUGCCGCGUGAGUGAUGAAGGCCUUAGGGUUGUAAAGCUCUUUUACCCGGGAUGAUAAUGACAGUACCGGGAGAAUAAGCUCCGGCUAACUCCGUG